rnacentral:lncRNA from 1 species
CAAUGUGCUAGGCGCGCCAGGUCUGCGAAGGAACUAGGAAUUUAACCAGUCAACAGGGCUAAUCUGUAACGAGGACCAGAAUAAGUGUCCAUGAGGAUGGGACUGAUGCUGCUGGAGGAUCCCAGAGAUGCUUUUACUCAUCGGAGAUAUUAACCUAGAUCGCAGAGGGACACCUUAUCACCCUUUUCACCCUCUGUAAGUGGCUUCCGACAAGGCGACACGUCCACUUCCUGACCUGUGCCAGCAGCUGCAUCAGGAGACUAAGAGGGACUAGUGGUGAGUGCACACGUCAAAUGCCUCUGGGUUUAAAGUAUUUAACAGCUGUCCUCUAUGAUUAACCUGUCCAUCACUUGACUUCCCAACCCACUUUCAUGGCCAGUCACUCCCACACCAUUCACAAUGAAUUAAUGGGUGUAAUAACACAGUCACGUGAUCUAGUCCCAACUACUAGUUCCUG